GCUGGGUUAGCUCAGUUGGUUAAAGCAUGGUGCUAAUAACACCAAGUUCACAGGUUCAAUCCCUGCUUACUGCA
rnacentral:tRNA from 1 species